ACAGCCUGAGACUCAGUGGAGGCCCGGCUGCUGUGCUGGUCAGUGCGGGGAGGCUGGCAAGACACACACCGAUACAUAGAAACAAUGAAAUAUGGGAGUCAGGAGGUGGCAAAUGCUCCGGAGAAAACCGAAGCUGAGAUGAAUAAUCAUUCUUUGUCCAGGUGGAAGUGGCAAGAGAAAGACACAGACCUGGGAAACCAGCUUAAUCCUUGUUCAGGGAGGAGCCCGGGACACCUGGGAACAGGACAGCAAGAAGGUUGCCGUCUGCUAGCCAGGAAGGGGGUUCUCACCAGGAACUGAAUCUGCCAGCACCUUGAGCUUGGACUUUCAGCCUCCAGAACUCUGAGAGAUAAGCACAGCCACACAACUAAGUUCUGGCCAAUGAGAUGAAAGCAGAAGUUUGCAAGGCAUUUCCUUUGGAAGUCUCCUUAAAAGGAAAGGAGAGUGUCCCUCUUCAUUUUCUCCAUUCUGCAGCUUGGGAUCUGGAUGUGAAGGCUGGAGCUCUAGCAACCAUUUUGGAUCAUAGAGAUGAGGGCCACACUCUAGGAAUGGUGGAGGAGAGAACCUGAAGGAAGCAACCUAGGCUGCUCACCUCUAAACUGCUUUUAAAUGUGAGAGAAAAACACUUCGAUUUUGUUUAAGCAAAGAUUUGGGGGGUGUCUGUUAGUGGUAACUGUAUUGGGUCAUUGCUGAUACAAGUAACCUAUUCAAAGUCAAAUAGCUCAGAAAUGGCUGAGUCAGAAUAAACCUGGUGGUUUAAGUCUGGAGCCUGGGGUCUUUACCACUCUUCCGCCCUCUGGUGAGCACUUGAGAAACAUGAGAUGAUAUCAUUAUCAUCAUCAUUACAUAGUAGCAGAGAAGGCUCCUUCUUAGGUUACCAUAUGUUAAUUGGUCAUAAAGUCAAUUUAGUGUGUCAUAACUAUCAUUAAAAAAAAAGAAAUCCAGUAGAAUGAAACAGAAAAUACUAGGGUGACAACUCUAAGACACUGACGAAAGAAACUGAAAAUGACACAAAUAAAUGGAAAGAUAUUCCAUGGUCAUGAAUUGAAGAAUUAAUAUUGUUAAAAUUUCCAUACUACCCAAAGCAAUCUACAGAUUCAAUGCAAUCCCUAUCAAAAUUCCAAUGGAAUUUUUCACAGAGACAGGACAAUCCUAAAAUUUGUGUUGAACCACAACAAACCCCCAAUAGCCAAAGCAAUCUUGAGAAAGAAUAACAAAGCUGGAGUCAUCAUGUUCCCUAAUUUAAAACCACAAAUCUAUAAGAAUCAAAACAGUAUGGUACUGGCAUAAAAACGGACCCUCUGCCCACCAACCCCAUGCCUCUCUGACCUUGUCUCCCCUUUGAUCUCUCUGCUCCAGUCCCACUGCUGUUCCUCAAAUGCCCCAGGCCUGCUCCUGCCCCAGGGCCUUUGCACAGGUUUCCUUGUGCUAGAACUGUCUUUCCCUGGGUCUCCUUGCCUCCUUUUAGACUUUGCUCCAAUGCCAUCUUCUCUGGGAGAACUUUCUUGACUGUAAUAUUUUCACUUCCAUCCCCCACCCCUCUGGCAUUUCCUAUACACCUUCUCCAUGUUUUCUUUCUACAUUUAGCCUUUAAACCUUGGAGCAUACUGUGGUACAUUAUUCAUUUGUUUUCUUCUCCAUUGGAAUGUAAGCUCCACAGCAGCAGAGCUUGCUUUUUUAUUUUCCUUGUUUUCUUUCCACUGCUAUUUCAAUACAUUUGUUUAAUAAAUAUUUGUGGAAUGAAUGGCUGGAUUUCUCCGAGGCCAGGGAGUCCUGAGAGCAGACACAAAGCUGACCCUGCUGCCCUGCAUGGCUCCCCAGCCCAGCAUUCUUUCUCACCAUCAGUUCCUGACUUCUCUCCUUUUGGAAAAUCAGAAGUUCAUACCUCUCUCAGUUUUCAUAUUUUUACAAACACAUUCACUUGUUCCCUACAAAGUCAGGGAAAGUUCUGUCAGUUUAACUGAGGAGCAGAGAGAGUAGAGAUGCUAUGCAGGGAUUGGCUGUAUUGCGGUAACUGCAGAUUUUUUUUUUUUUUUCCAGAGUCUGUGUGUCAGGGUUGUUUAAUAAAGAAUUUGUCUGGUCUUUGUCCCUGGUUCUGGACAGGAAGCCUCUAAACCCUUGGAAUCUCCCCAGUGAUAGGAGUGUCUUUGUUGUUUAUCGUUGGUCCCUCGGCCACACCUGAGUUUAUGCUAAUAAAAUGACUCAUGGUUUGCCCCUGGCUAGUUUCAGGAUGGCGGCUGGCCAGGCCAGAAAGACCAGUUAUGUGAUUAGAAGAUUGGGGCUUGGGGCUACACGAUAUCAGUCUGACUUCCCAACCUCUGGAGAAAGGGGCUAGAGAUUGAAUCCGAUUAUGUAGCCAAGGAUUCAACCAAUCAUGCUGAUGUAAUGAAACCCUGAUAAAACAAACCUCUGGACACCAAGACUUGGUGGUACUUCCUGGUUAGUGAUGCACAUCUAGUUGCCUGGAGGGUGGUGUGUCCUGAGGACAGGAAAGCUGCUUGUUUAGGACCUUCCCAGACAUUGCCUUAUAUGUUUCUUCAUUUGUCUGGUCCUGAUUUGUAUCCUUUAUAAUAAAACUGUAACUGUAAGUAUUGUGCUUUCCUUAGUUCUUUGAGUCAUUCCAGAGAAUUAUUGAACCUGAGGGUAUUGUGAGAAGCCCAGAAUUUGUAGCCAGUUGGUCAGAAAUGCAAGGGCCUGGGGACUUCAGAACUUGCAGCUGGUGUUUGAAGUGAGGGUAGUCUUGUGAGGGGGACUGUGCCCUCAACCUGUGAAGUGUGGCCUAAUUCUGGGGAGGUAGAAUCAGAAUUGCAUUGCAGGGACUUCCCUGGUGGUCCAGUGGUUAGGACUCCACACUUCCACUGCGGGGGGCAUGGGUUCGAUCCCUGGUCGGGUAACUAAGAUCCCGCAUACCAAGUGGCGUGGCCAAAAACGAAAACAAAAUUUUUUUUAAUUAAAAAGAAUUGCAUUGCAAGGGGGAAACUCUAUAGUCAUCAGUGCUCUUUUAAUUAAUUACAAGUGGAAAUUGCAAGCUCAUCCACUCGAGCUCUCUUAGGCACAAAAGGAAGCAUCAUGGCUCAUGAAAUGGGGGGAGUCCAAGGGUAGAGUGAAUUGAAGCCCGGAUGGAUCCAGGGACCCAGAUGGUCAGGCAGGCCUCCUUCUCACUGAGGCUCUUCUCUACAGCCUUAGUGGGGAGCCUGGCCCUGCUGACUCCUUUGGAUUUCUGGCUUCCAGAACACUGAGGCCAACAAAAAAAUGUCUGUUGUUUUAAGCUACCCAAAUGUGUGGUAAUUUGCCAUGGCAGCCACAGGAAACUAAUCUACCUGCGAUUCCAAUGUGUUGGUUUGAAGUGGAUUUCUCACUACCUGCCACUCACGCCUCACCACCCCAGCUUAGGACCCAUGUGUGAGGGUGAGGGGUGAGUCUGUCCUGCUAGACCUCAGCUCUCCAGGCCUCAGGCCACCCUCUGCUCUGGUGAGCGAGCAGUGGAAACUCCCAGAGGUGGGGCCCGGGGAGACACAGGUGUGUUAUCCAGGGAGCACCUCUGGUUUCCCACUAACAGUGGACUUAGAUCUCUCUCAUUUUGCACAAUUCACGUGACCUUUCUGGACUUACACUGAUAAAAUGACUACUUUUAGCUUGUGAUUCUGUUGCAAAGGAUACGUUGCUUCUUCAGACGGGCAGUUCAGGUCCUGAGAGAGCAACAGAGAGCGAGAGCGAGGAGAGAAAUGAGGGUUAGAGCAGCCACCAGGUGGCGACAUCUCUUUCUGCAGCUGGACAGCAGGUGGACUUCAGUUCCUGCGCUGGAGGGAUGCCCCAGACCUGCCCAUGGGGCCCCUGAUCGAGCUCUCAGGGGAAGCUAUCGAGAUAGGAUGACCGAGGCUGCGCCUGGAAACUUAUAUCCAAGAAAAAUGAUGAGUCUGAUACUUGAUUGGUGAUUAUUAUAUGGAGAGAGAGGGUGAUAAGAAAGAAGUCUAGAAUGACAUGCAGGUUUCUGGUCUGAGUUACCAGGUAGUGCUCAGAGGAAGGAGGUCUGGGAAGGAUGCUAGGCGGCAUCUAAGUAAGAGCUGCUAGGAAGCAGAAAUAAUGGUAACUCUCGAGCAGAAGGAAAUGAAAGGCGGAGGAUGGUAUCUGGAGGCCGGAUGACCCUCCCUAAUAUGAGGCCCAGCAUAGUGUAGUGGUCUAGAGGAGGGCUUGGAAGACACUGCCCAUGGGAUUGGCCUGCCACCCACCUUCUGUAAAGAAAAAUUGUUUUAUCGGAACAAAGCCACACCUAUGCAUUUACGUGUUGUCUAUGACACAUGUCACACUACAAAAGCAGAGUGAAGUCAGUUUUGGACAGAAGUCAUAUGGGCUGUGAAGCUAAAAUAUUUCCUAUCUGGCCCUUUGGAGAACAAUUCUGCUGAUUCCUGGUCUAGAGCAGCACUGCUUAACUUUCAGUGUGAAUUCGGACUGACCUGGAGGUGGUGUGAGAUGAAGAGUCCGCUUCAGGAGGUCUGAGACCAGUCCUGAGAUUCAGAGCUUCUAUCGGGCCCCGGUCCUACUGAGGCUGCUGGUCCGGGGACCAUGCUUUGAGAAGCAAGGACUUAGAGCAGCGCUGUCCAAUGGAAAUAAAACGUGAGCACGCAAGUAAUUUGCAAGUUUCUAGUGUCCACAUCAAAGAGGUAAAAAGAAACAUGUGACAUUAAUCUACUAUUUUAUUUAACUCAAUAUAGCCCAAAUAUAUUAUGUCUUAUGUAACCAA